AUUGAACGCUGGCGGCAGGCCUAACACAUGCAAGUCGAACGAGUGGCGGACGGGUGAGUAAUGUCGGUGAAACUGCCCGAUGGAGGGGGAUAACUACUGGAAACGGUAGCUAAUACCGCAUACCAUCGGAUGUGCCCAGAUGGGAUUAGCUAGGAGGUGGGGUAAUGGGUCAACUAGGCGACGAUCCCUAGCUGGUCGGAGAGGAUGACCGGCCGCACUGGAACUGGGACACGGUCCAUACUCCUACGGGAGGGAGCAGUGGGGAAGAUUGCACAAUGGGCGCAAGCCUGAUGCAGCCAUGCCGCGUGUAUGAAGAAGGCCUUCGGGUUGUAAAGUACUUUCAGCGAGGAGGCGUUACUCGCAGAAGAAGCACCGGCUAACUCCGUGCCAGCAGCCGCGGUAAUUC
rnacentral:rRNA from 1 species